AUAUUUACCUGGCAGGGGAGAUACCAUGAUCACGGAGGUGGUUUUCCCAGGGUGAUGCUUAACCAGUGCACUCUGGCUCUGCUCACCCCUGCCACUUCCUGCACGAUCUGUGGUAGUGGGGCCCUGGUUCGCGCUUUCCCCUG
rnacentral:snRNA from 1 species